rnacentral:misc_RNA from 1 species
AUGAAGCCACUGUUCCAAGUUCCCGUUGUUCACAUACUCGUACACCAGCAUCCUAUGAGAUCCUUCAGCACAAUAGCCAAGCAGUCUUGCUAGGUUUUUGUGCCGGACUCUUCCAAUGGCUUCCACUUCAACUUUGAAUUCCCUCUCAGNNNCCUGUCAUUAAGCAAGUUCUUGACAGCUACCUGAGUGUUAUCCUCUAAAACACCGUGGUAGACUAUCCCAUACCCUCCCUCGCCGAUCA